UCCGUAGGCGGGCAGCUCAGUCAGUGGUGAAAGUUUGCAGCUCAACUGUAAAAUUGCCAUUGAUACUGGUUGUCUUGAAUUAAUGUGAAGUGGUUAGAAUAUGUAGUGUAGCGGUGAAAUGCAUAGAUAUUACAUAGAAUACCAAUUGCGAAGGCAGAUCACUAAUAAUAUAUCGACGCUGAUGGACGAAAGCGUGGGGAGCGAACAGGAUUAGAUACCCUGGUAGUCC
rnacentral:rRNA from 1 species